rnacentral:misc_RNA from 1 species
GAUAAGAACGUAGCGAAAUGCGAUAAGUAAUGUGAAUUGCAGAAUUCAGUGAAUCAUCGAAUCUUUGAACGCACAUUGCGCCCCCUGGUAUUCCGGGGGGCAUGCCUGUCCGAGCGUCAUUACAACCCUCAAGCUCAGCUUGGUGUUGGGCCCCGCCGCCCCGGCGGGCCCUAAAGUCAGUGGCGGUGCCGUCCGGCUCCGAGCGUAGUAAUUCUUCUCGCUCUGGAGGUCCGGUCGUGUGCUCGCCAGCAACCCCCAAUUUUUUUCAGGUUGACCUCGGAUCAGGUAGGGAUACCCGCUGAACUUAAGCAUAUCAAUAAGCGGAGGA